AUUGAACGCUGGCGGCAGGCCUAACACAUGCAAGUCGGACGGUAGCACAGAGAGCUUGCUCUCGGGUGACGAGUGGCGGACGGGUGAGUAAUGUCUGGGGAUCUGCCCGAUAGAGGGGGAUAACCACUGGAAACGGUGGCUAAUACCGCAUAACGUCGCAAGACCAAAGAGGGGGACCUUCGGGCCUCUCACUAUCGGAUGAACCCAGAUGGGAUUAGCUAGUAGGCGGGGUAAUGGCCCACCUAGGCGACGAUCCCUAGCUGGUCUGAGAGGAUAACAAGCCACACUGGAACUGAGACACUGUCCAGAAUCCUACGGGAGGCAGCAGUGGGGAAUAUUGCACAAUGGGCGCAAGCCUGAUGCAGCCAUGCCGCGUGUAUGAAGAAGGCCUUCGGGUUGUAAAGUACUUUCAGCGGGGAGGAAGGCGGUGCGGUUAAUAACCGCGCCGAUUGACGUUACCCGCAGAAGAAGCACCGGCUAACUCCGUGCCAGCCGCCGCGGUAA
rnacentral:rRNA from 1 species